rnacentral:rRNA from 1 species
GACGAACGCUGGCGGCGUGCCUAAUACAUGCAAGUAGAACGCACAGUUUAUACCGUAGCUUGCUACACCAUAGACUGUGAGUUGCGAACGGGUGAGUAACGCGUAGGUAACCUGCCUGGUAGCGGGGGAUAACUAUUGGAAACGAUAGCUAAUACCGCAUAAUAUUAAUUAUUGCAUGAUAAUUAAUUGAGAGGUGCAAUUGCACCACUACCAGAUGGACCUGCGUUGUAUUAGCUAGUAGGUGAGGUAACGGCUCACCUAGGCGACGAUACAUAGCCGACCUGGGAGGGUGAUCGGCCACACUGGGACUGGGACACGGCCCCGACUCCUACGGGAGGCAGCAGUAGGGAAUCUUCGGCAAUGGACGAAAGUCUGACCGAGCAACGCCGCGUGAGUGAAGAAGGUUUUCGGAUCGUAAAGCUCUGUUGUAAGAGAAGAACGGGUGUGAGAGUGGAAAGUUCACACUGUGACGGUAUCUUACCAGAAAGGGACGGCUAACUACGUG